CUCUUUAGGGAUGCUUUGUUGGUGGAAGAGAAGUCUUCAUCAAUGGCUAUUGCAAUAACCAAUAGCUGAACUGUAAAAAGUACUUGUGAUCUUUUUCAGCUGGACCAUGCAGAAGAAAACAAUCUAACUGGCCAACUGGGUAUGCUAGAUUGCUAAUCAAUGUGAGGUUGCUAGCAGCAUAUUUUCAAGCAUCUUCAAUCACUUGGUAUUGGUGGUUGAUGUAGGUUGAGACAAAAGUCUAUUGCAGUAUUGGUGUUGCUGUUGCAGUUGGUGCAUCAUUUGUAGAUAGCAAUUGAUUAGAAGUUUAUGUAUUUAGUAUUUAAAGUGAAAAAUUAUGCUUGGAUUUUGGUUUACUAUUGUUAAUAUUAUUAAUUUGGUUU
rnacentral:lncRNA from 1 species